UUUCCCCGCCCCUCCUCCUCCUCCUCCUCCUCCUCCUCCCCCUCCCGACCGCCUGGAGCCGGCCUGACGGAGGGAUGCGACUCCUAAACUCUGCGCCUCAGUAUCGCCACAACGUUGCCAUUUGGCUGCUGACGUCGGCGGCUCCACGAGGGACGUAAACACGGGCACGUGCCGCACGCUGGUGACGCGACGGCGGCGGCGCGCACACCCCGCCCGCGCGCGUCGGCCCCGCCCCUCAGCGUCUCCCGCCCACGCCCGCUGGUUGCUGCGAGCCCGACUCUUCUUCCUUCCGCGAAGCCUCCUCCUCCUGCGAGCUGCAGCAGGCGAUUCGCCGGCGGGAAGAGUGGCAGGUGUUCCCUGAGGCACAGGUGGCUUCCGAACCCAGGAGAGGAGGAAUAGAAACGGAGGAACUGAGUUUUCAAGUCCAUUUAUUCAAAGGGACCCUCAAGCGACAUGGAGCUGGUAACGCUGUGAGAAAGACUUGAGGCAAGCUGAUAUCUGUCUCGGUUACCUCUGUACACGUGUCCGGCACAAAGCCAGUGCUCAUAGACUGUUGUGGAAGGAAGAAAAGAAGGAUGGAAGGAAUGAAGAUGGGGGGAGGGAGGGAGGGAGGAAGUGAGGAAGGUCAGUCAUGAAGGAGAGAUGAAGGAAGAAAGAAACAACCAAGACAUUAAAGCCCAUUGUAAAGCAUUAUCCCUAUGUGUAUUCUUCAUUAGUAGUUAGUUUGUGAGCCUAGUAUUCUCAUAUUUACCUGAAAAUUACAUUGUUAACUCUCUGGCCUUAGAAUUCGUAUUUCAUAAAAAUUGGAUAUUUUGGUUUAUUGUUCAAUGAAAAAAAAUU